AUCCAGCUGACCAGUCUCAAAUAGGACGAAAGGCGUGUCAAACUGGAU
rfam:Schistosoma mansoni strain Puerto Rico chromosome 2, complete genome